ensembl:lncRNA uncharacterized LOC114450712
GACGGCCCAUGUGCAGCGUCAGAUUUUUCAAAGGAACUAUACCAUGGAGCAAGAUUAAAGAACUUCAAGUACUUUCAAAACCUCUGUGUCCUUUUGAAGCUAUUGUGGUGGUGACAGUUCGUGAUCAAAUGGUCUGUGUGGAUCCAAAAAGUAUGUGGGUCAAGACACUUAUGGCAAAGCACUCUCAUUGAAGAAGACUCUCUUAAAUGAGAUUAAACAAGAAAAGCCAAAUCACCACUUAAUUUAUUGAAAUAUAUCUAAAAAUAUGAUCAAAUCUCUACUGUUGGAUUACACUGUAGAUGGCUUUAGAAAGCCUGCCAUGUGUAGAAUAGAAUUAACUAUUAUAUAUACUAUAAAGGACUAUUAGUUGUUUCUGUGUUUAUUGAUAUUGGCCAAUUAUGUGUAUCAUUUACCAUAGUAUGUACAGUAACUGGUAGUAUGGUAACUUGUAUCUGCAGCAUAAUGGCAUGACUUCAUAGGCAGCACCUCUCCAAAAGAAACAGAGUGCUCACCAGAUCCAUCAGAUAAGAAGGGUGUUGCGUUCAAAGGAAAUUGGACUUCCUCUUACUUUAAAUCAGAUACUAUCCUGUCACAUGUCUAUAUAUGUUAAGGACUUUGGUGGAGUUGAUCAGAUUGUGACACACUCUGAAUAAACACUCAGCUUGACAGAGACAUCGAUCCAGACCCAUGAUGCUCCUCUUCAUUGUGGGCCAGCUGCUUUUAAGAGCUCUUCUGCUCCAAUCAAUUGAAGACAAUGAAGAGUGGAAGACACACAUGACGCAGAGGGCUGGUGGUUCUGAGCGUUUUGGGGAGUUCUGCCUGCAUCUUCCUGAUGACUCUCAGUGGACCAGCUCCAAACCUGACAUUCCUAUGACCACACAGCAGCUGACCCCACCAGAGGAACCCAUAAUGCGCCACAUACCUUUUCAGUUGGCUUCAGGCCGUGAGCCCGAGUCGACAACUGAGUCUGACCUGAUUGAGGAGAUACAAGUCAUCACCACUGAUGGAAUACACAGUGGUUGUAAGUGCAACAAGGAAAAUAUGAAAAAGCCGACUGACACCUCCAGGAUCCAGAGCUUAACAAAGAGAUACCCCACUGACACGUGUAGCUCUACUGAAUACAUUCCUAUGCCAGCAAGCGACAGAAGUGGCGCUGAAUUAGUUUUAACUUCGCCUUCACUUUGCAACUUCUGCGGCCAGUUCACUGCAUUGGAUGACGUUGACCUAAUAGAUGUUAAAUCCUUAGAGGUGGAGAAGCCAUCAGAUCAUUGUCCUGACCUCGUUCGGAUGAACAUGAAGAAUGGUGCGGUUUUGUGUUCGGAUUUGAGCGAUUUGGAGAUAGUGGUGAAGAAUCUGGAAGUCUUCCUGCAGCGUACAGACGCCAGCCCUCCAAAAAACAAGAUGAGUAGAUGCCACUGCCGUAAGAAACGUCCCAAAUCCUUCACAUUCACAAAGCUAAAAAUCUACAUCCCCAGUGAAGUGUGUCUCCCAGCUCAGUUUGUUGAGGCAGUGAUGGAUGAGGAGGAGGUGUGCAUGACUGUACCCGACCUCUUAGAAUUACUUGAAUAUCUGGACCCAGGUUCCCAGGCGGUGCUUGAUUACGAAGCUACAAUUACAUUUGUAAGCUGCAUAGGCUGCAUACCCAGAGAUCUCAGUGAUUUAAAAGAUGCCCGAUCCCUUACGAUCAAUAAACCCCAUCCUAGCUGUCUAGUCGUCCUCCUUUUCACUUUGGCAGAUAACACAAUAGCCUGUGUGGACUCGAACCAUCCAUCAUAUUCAGAUCUGCUGAAGAGUCUUUAAGUCCACUGAGGGAGAAGCCUGAAAUCUGAUCCAUGCCUCCAAUUCUCCUGAUAGCUCUUAAAAACCGUUUUUGUGUUCAUUUAAACAUGACAACUUGGACCUUUUGACAGAGAUAGUAUCAUUUCUUCUGUUUCAAAGCUAAGCUAGCUUCUUAUGCUAAAGUAGGCUAAUUAUUUACUGUUUCUGGCAUAGAUGUGAGUAAUAAACCUUUUUUGAAUUCUUCUCUUUGACUCUAU